AUUAGCUCUACUAAGCAGAACAGAGCCGGUAUCCAACUAAACAGCAGGACAGACAACAUCAGACUGAAUACAACACACAAAAGAGUGUCAGAGGGAAAUACCUAAAAAGACUAAAACAGCCAAUCAUCCCAAGUCCAGAAAACAAGGGUGACGUCUGCAGUUCAUACGGUUGUCAGAGUGAUUCAGUGGUGGGCAGGGGGUUUCCUGAAUCUCCCGCCAGGUGUUCAUCAUCCAGGACACUCCUCAGAAGAUCCAAGCUGUGAUUCAGAUGGCGGCGCUAAUUUAAUAUAUAUCAGAGAGAACAGUGAACUGUUGAGUUUCCAGGGGAACAGAGAAUAAUUAACCUACCAGGAUAUUUUUGAACUAUAGAAGAAUACUGGAGCACCCAUAGGAAAACAUUUAA